rnacentral:rRNA from 1 species
AGAGUUUGUCCUGGCUCAGGACGAACGCUGGCGGCGUGCUUAACACAUGCAAGUCGAACGGAAAGGCCCUGCUUUUGUGGGGUGCUCGAGUGGCAAACGGGUGAGUAACACGUGAGUAACCUGCCCUUGACUUUGGGAUAACUUCAGGAAACUGGGGCUAAUACCGGAUAGGAGCUCCUGCUGCAUGGUGGGGGUUGGAAAGUUUCGGCGGUUGGGGAUGGACUCGCGGCUUAUCAGCUUGUUGGUGGGGUAGUGGCUUACCAAGGCUUUGACGGGUAGCCGGCCUGAGAGGGUGACCGGCCACAUUGGGACUGAGAUACGGCCCAGACUCCUACGGGAGGCAGCAGUGGGGAAUAUUGCACAAUGGGCGGAAGCCUGAUGCAGCAACGCCGCGUGCGGGAUGACGGCCUUCGGGUUGUAAACCGCUUUCGCCUGUGACGAAGCGUGAGUGACGGUAAUGGGUAAAGAAGCACCGGCUAACUACGUGCCAGCAGCCGCGGUGAUACGUAGGGUGCGAGCGUUGUCCGGAUUUAUUGGGCGUAAAGGGCUCGUAGGUGGUUGAUCGCGUCGGAAGUGUAAUCUUGGGGCUUAACCCUGAGCGUGCUUUCGAUACGGGUUGACUUGAGGAAGGUAGGGGAGAAUGGAAUUCCUGGUGGAGCGGUGGAAUGCGCAGAUAUCAGGAGGAACACCAGUGGCGAAGGCGGUUCUCUGGGCCUUUCCUGACGCUGAGGAGCGAAAGCGUGGGGAGCGAACAGGCUUAGAUACCCUGGUAGUCCACGCUGUAAACGGUGGGUACUAGGUGUGGGGUCCAUUCCACGGGUUCCGUGCCGUAGCUAACGCUUUAAGUACCCCGCCUGGGGAGUACGGCCGCAAGGCUAAAACUCAAAGGAAUUGACGGGGCCCCGCACAAGCGGCGGAGCAUGCGGAUUAAUUCGAUGCAACGCGUAGAACCUUACCUGGGUUUGACAUGGAUCGGGAGUGCUCAGAGAUGGGUGUGCCUCUUUUGGGGUCGGUUCACAGGUGGUGCAUGGCUGUCGUCAGCUCGUGUCGUGAGAUGUUGGGUUAAGUCCCGCAACGAGCGCAACCCUUGUUCACUGUUGCCAGCACGUUAUGGUGGGGACUCAGUGGAGACCGCCGGGGUCAACUCGGAGGAAGGUGGGGAUGACGUCAAGUCAUCAUGCCCCUUAUGUCCAGGGCUUCACGCAUGCUACAAUGGCUGGUACAGAGAGUGGCGAGCCUGUGAGGGUGAGCGAAUCUCGGAAAGCCGGUCUCAGUUCGGAUUGGGGUCUGCAACUCGACCUCAUGAAGUCGGAGUCGCUAGUAAUCGCAGAUCAGCAACGCUGCGGUGAAUACGUUCCCGGGGCUUGUACACACCGCCCGUCAAGUCAUGAAAGUUGGUAACACCCGAAGCCGGUGGCCUAACCGUUGUGGGGGAGCCGUCGAAGGUGGGACUGGUGAUUAGGACUAAGUCGUAACAAGGUAACC